UCUCCGUUGGAGAACCAGCGGAGGGAUCAUUACAGGACUCGCAAGACUCCUUCACCCUGUGAACCUCACUACAAGCACGUUGCUUCGGCGGGUGUCCCGGCGGGGGUUUUCCCUCGCCGGGGCGCACAGCCCGCCGGCAGCCUACUAUACUCUGUCUCUUUGCGUUGGCAUCUCGAGAAAAAACAAACAAGUUAAAACUUUCAACAACGGAUCUCUUGGUUCUG
rnacentral:misc_RNA from 1 species